AAACUGCUUUUCUUCUUAGAAAAACAGCAAGAGGGGGCUGGGCGCGGUGGCUCACGCCUAUAAUCCAAGCACUUUGGGAGGCCAAGAUGGACUGAGAGCUUGGGAUGGAAAUCCCAGUACACUAUCUACCCCUACCAACCCCUGGCUGCCCUGCCUCUCCCUGGAAGGAUGAUGUUCUGGUCUCUUCUGCGACUUCCCAUCAUAGAAGGCUCUCCACUGGAUUUGGAAAAGUGGAACUAAUAAUAAAAAGAAAGGAGAGAAUCAA